UACGGAGGGUGCGAGCGUUAUUCGGAUGUACUGGGCGUAAAGCGUGCGCAGGCGGCCCGUUAAGACAGGUGUGAAAUCCCUGGGCUCAACCUAGGAAUUGCGCUUGUGACUGGCGGGCUCGAGUACGGUAGAGGGGGGUGGAAUUCCUGGUGUAGCAGUGAAAUGCGUAGAGAUCAGGAGGAACACCGAUGGCGAAGGCAGCCCCCUGGGCCUGUACUGACGCUCAUGCACGAAAGCGUGGGGAGCAAACAGG
rnacentral:rRNA from 1 species